AGUCGGUCGUAGUCCGGAUUGGAGUCUGCAACUCGACUCCAUGAAGUCGGAAUCGCUAGUAAUCGCGAAUCAGCAUGUCGCGGUGAAUACGUUCCCGGGCCUUGUACACACCGCCCGUCACACCAUGGGAGUGGGUUGCACCAGAAGUAGAUAGUCUAACCUUUGGGGGGACGUUUACCACGGUGUGGUUCAUGACUGGGGUGAAGUCGUAACAAGGUAGCCGUAGGGGAACCUGCGGCUGGAUCACCUCCUUAAA
rnacentral:rRNA from 1 species